AGGAGGAUUAGGAAUCUUCAUAUAUAAUGCAAACAGGGAUAAUUUAAUAAAAAUGAAGUUUCAACAUAUAUUACAUGUGAACCCUAAACUCCACAAUUCACCGUGCCGUCCAUAGCGUUGGGAACAUACGGAUAUGGCAUUGAGAUGAAAACAAACAGGCGACUGUUGGUAAGUGGCUUUGAUCCAUUCAUCAGGUAAUAGGGGGUAGUUAACCCUACACUGAAAUUUAUGAGAAGGCCAAGUUUUUCACAAAAACAAAACAUAGAUGUUUAAAACCAGGCCAGUAGAAAACAAAAAAACAAAUGUACCUUUGAUCAUCAUCGAAGUUAUGUUACAGAGGUAACAUCAAACCCAACCAUCUCCAUUACCUUCACUUGUGUCGAAGCACCCAUAAAAACAUUUACUUUCCCGAUAAUACGUCCUCUGCAACUUUCAGACUUGUCAUAAUGAGAGAAACAUGCAAUGCCAG
rnacentral:lncRNA from 1 species